rnacentral:rRNA from 1 species
CUUUAUUGGAGAGUUUGAUCCUGGCUCAGGAUGAACGCUGGCGGCGUGCCUAAUACAUGCAAGUCGAGCGAAUGGAUUAAGAGCUUGCUCUUAUGAAGUUAGCG